rnacentral:lncRNA from 1 species
ACAAAAAAAAAGGUUAUACAAUAAAAAUAAAAAUCAAUUUAGGCAACCACAUAAUAAACUAUGAAAACUCUUACCUUAAUCUUCACAUUCUCCAUCAUUGUUGCCUUCUCACAUGCAGCACCAACAUUGGUCACUCUUCCUCAACCUGAUCAAAUGAAUCAAUCUUCUACACUAAUAAGUCAUACCCUUCAACAAGUAUAUCAAUUUUAUCACUUAGCUUCUCGUUAUUUUUUUUUUAUUUUUUUAAGCAUUUAUCCGAACUAGGGAAUACCCUUUAAUUAAAAAUCAUUCAUAAUAACAUAUUUAUUCAGUAUAUAUCUUUUCAUUUUUUUUUUCAACACCAAAAAAAAGCUUUUCAUUAUUGUCCCUUUUGCCCUAAAAAGUUUAGUCACUAGUUUACAAAUCAAUGUGUAUCUUAAAUAAUUUCAUAUUUUAUUGUAUCUUGAAUAAGAGACAAUAUGCAUUUUUCAGAUUAAUGAGACUAGACUGAUUAGUAGUAUGUGCAAAUACCUAAUCACCAUAAAGACAAGCUGCAAUUCUCCAGCAUAUACAACAGAUCAAAUCAGUCUUUUAUUUGGAGAUGAUCUUGGCUCUAAGGUUCUUUUAUGUACUCAUUCACAAUUUUAAAAUACUUGAAUGAUUUUAGUAAAAAUACUUUACUUAACUAGUUAUGUAUUAUUUUCUUCUGACAUGUCCAAAAACAAUUUGUAGCUUAAACUCUCUAGGACAACUUAUAUGAACAAUUAAUAGUUUAUAUGAAUUAUUUUUUUUUUAAUGAAAUUAUGUAAUGUACUGGUUUGAUGUAUAAUUGCAGCUUUAUGUUAAAAGAUUGGAUGACCCUGGUGCAUUCAAGAGGUGCACCACAGUUUCAUUUGAUGUAAUGGGAGAAUGUACCAGCCAGAUAUGUGAACUGUAC